GCUCAUAGCUCAGCCGGUUAAAGUGUUGUGCUGAUAAUGCCAAGGUUGCAGGUCCGACCCCUGCAUGCGACA